rnacentral:rRNA from 1 species
UACGGGGGGGGCAAGCGUUGUUCGGAAUUACUGGGCGUAAAGGGCUCGUAGGUGGCCAACUAAGUCAGACGUGAAAUCCCUCGGCUUAACCGGGGAACUGCGUCUGAUACUGGAUGGCUUGAGUUUGGGAGAGGGAUGCGGAAUUCCAGGUGUAGCGGUGAAAUGCGUAGAUAUCUGGAGGAACACCGGUGGCGAAGGCGGCAUCCUGGACCAAUAUUGACGCUGAGGAGCGAAAGCUAGGGGAGCAAACGGG